GACGAACGCUGGCGGCGUGCUUAACACAUGCAAGUCGAACGGAAAGGCCCUGCUUUUGUGGGGUGCUCGAGUGGCGAACGGGUGGGUAACACGUGAGUAACCUGCCCUUGACUUUGGGAUAACUUCAGGAAACUGGGGCUAAUACCGGAUAGGAGCUCCUGCUGCAUGGUGGGGGUUGGAAAGUUUCGGCGGUUGGGGAUGGACUCGCGGCUUAUCAGCUUGUUGGUGGGGUAGUGGCUUACCAAGGCUUUGACGGGUAGCCGGCCUGAGAGGGUGACCGGCCACAUUGGGACUGAGUUACGGCCCAGACUCCUACGGGAGGCAGCAGUGUGGAAUAUUGCACAAUGGGCGGAAGCCUGAUGCAGCAACGCCGCGUGCGGGAUGACGGCCUUCGGGUUGUAAACCGCUUUCGCCUGUGACGAAGCGUGAGUGACGGUAAUGGGUAAAGAAGCACCGGCUAACUACGUG
rnacentral:rRNA from 1 species